UAGGGAAUCUUCCGCAAUGGACGCAAGUCUGACGGAGCAACGCCGCGUGAGUGAAGAAGGAUUUCGGUUCGUAAAACUCUGUUGUUAGAGAAGAACAGCGCAUAGAGUAACUGUUAUGCGUGUGACGGUAUCUAACCAGAAAGCCACGGCUAACUACGUGCCAGCAGACGCGGUAAUACGUAGGUGGCAAGCGUUGUCCGGAUUUAUUGGGCGUAAAGCGAGCGCAGGCGGUCAAUUAAGUCUGAUGUGAAAGCCCCCGGCUCAACCGGGGAGGGUCAUUGGAAACUGGUUGACUUGAGUGCAGAAGAGGAGAGUGGAAUUCCAUGUGUAGCGGUGAAAUGCGUAGAUAUAUGGAGGAACACCAGUGGCGAAGGCGACUCUCUGGUCUGUAACUGACGCUGAGGCUCGAAAGCGUGGGUAGCAAACAGG
rnacentral:rRNA from 1 species